rnacentral:lncRNA from 1 species
AUAUAGAAAAAUGCCCUUCCCCAAUUUCCAAAUCAUGAAAAUUUGGCUCAGCAGGUGUACACUUAAAGCGUUCUGGGAAUAUGAAUCCCUUCUGCACCCUGGAAUCACCAGUCCAGCCAUGCAUGGAGCUGGGGAAAGCAGGCCCUGAAUUGUCUAGAGAGACUUGGUGGAGGAGGCCACGGCCCGCCUUGUCCCUGCCGGGUCCCAGCCAGGUGUGUGUGCCCCAGCUGGACUCUCGGUGGUCUCCACAGGCUGCAGCAGAAGGAAUACCUUGGAACAACUGGAUGUUGUAAAUGUUUCUCAUCUGGCCUUAAAAUCCAUGAAAGCUGGAAAAUCACAAGGCAUCUGUGCACAUACUGGUGGAUUUUAAUGAGAGUCCUGUGUUUGGAGCACCAGAAAUAAACCAGCUUCAGAAGCAAAGGAGGAGGAAGCAGAGCUAGAGAUGGAAGGAGACCCAGCCAGCCCGGGCUCCAGUGACAUCGGCUGGUACACGCUUUUGUUUGCUUACGCUUGUUGAACUGAGUUUUUCAUAUGUAACUAACGAAUAGUGGCACAUGUGAGCCCGAGAAUUUGCAUUUCUGACAAGAUCCCAGGAUCUGAACGUCUAUGACACUCUUUCGAGCUGACACAGUGAAGAACAUGGAAGGAGAACUCACCCAGUCUGCCAGGGUCACAGAUGAUCAUACUCAAGAUCUUCCUGGGGAGUCAAUGGCAAAUUUCACUGGGCUAUUUUACAGAUGAAGAAGGAACAUAAAGAAGGUUCUGGGACCCU